rnacentral:rRNA from 1 species
UACGGGGGGGGCAAGCGUUGUUCGGAAUUACUGGGCGUAAAGGGCUCGUAGGCGGCCAACUAAGUCAGACGUGAAAUCCCCAGGUUUAACCUGGGAACUGCGUCUGAUACUGGAUGGCUUGAAUUCGGGAGAGGGAUGCAGAAUUCCAGGUGUAGCGGUGAAAUGCGUAGAUAUCUGGAGGAACACCGGUGGCGAAGGCGGCAUCCUGGACCACGACUGACGCUGAGUGAGCGAAAGCCAGGGGAGCAAACGGG